UACGUAGGUGGCAAGCGUUGUCCGGAAUUAUUGGGCGUAAAGCGCGCGCAGGCGGUCCUUUAAGUCUGAUGUGAAAGCCCACGGCUCAACCGUGGAGGGUCAUUGGAAACUGGGGGACUUGAGUACAGAAGAGAAGAGUGGAAUUCCACGUGUAGCGGUGAAAUGCGUAGAGAUGUGGAGGAACGCCAGUGGCGAAGGCGACUCUUUGGUCUGUAACUGACGCUGAGGCGCGAAAGCGUGGGGAGCAAACAGG
rnacentral:rRNA from 1 species